UAUUUACUGCAAGAACAAUCUCUAUUAAGUUUUUUACUUUAUGUAUAUAUUUGACCACCACAUGAUGUUUCCUUUCGCUUUAAAAUCUUGUACACAACAAAGAUUUCCUUCAAUAUAAGAAUAUCAGAUCUAAUUCCUAUCUGCUAUCUUUAUAAGAUGAUCCUUAUGCAAAUUGAAAUGUCUUGUAUGAUAACCGAUUUGUUUUGUUUCCUACCCAGUGUCUAGGUGAAAGAAAUUCAGAAUCCAGACAUUAUGUUUUAAACGAUUAAUUUUCUUGGUAUUUGUUUGGAUGAAGUUGGACUUGUACGUUGUGACUUUAAUGAAUUCAACAUAAUGGGUUUUGAAGUUAACAAAGUACAUUCUAUGAAUGGUGGAGCUACAACAGAAAGAACAAUAGAUUUGGUGCAGCUAGAAACACCAGUGUUGCAGUUCAGAUUUUAAAAAUUGCUGCAAAACAUGCUACAUGGUAGUUAGCUGCAAAAUGAAUGACAUUCUUCAGUUUUCUUUCUCUCAUGUUACUUCUUGUGGGUUAAAUUCUAAACUAUAUGAAGAUUGUUAAGUUUUUUGUUGUAAGGUUUGUAAAAAAAUUGAAUUACUGUUGAAAUUUUUAUAUCUUAAAGUGGUUGAAUUUGUACAUUGAA